CACAUACUCCCUCCGUCCCAAAAUUCUUGUCUUACAUUGUUGUCUAGAUAUCAAUGUAUCUAGUCACGUUUUAGUAUUUUGAUACAUCCAUUUCUAAACAAACUUAAGACAAGAAUUUUGGAACGGAGGGAGUAUUUA
rnacentral:pre_miRNA from 1 species